rnacentral:rRNA from 1 species
CAGCCGCCGCGGUAAUACGUAGGUGGCAAGCGUUGUCCGGAAUUAUUGGGCGUAAAGCGCGCGCAGGCGGCCUAUCCAGUCUGUCUUAAAAGUUCGGGGCUCAACCCCGUGAUGGGAUGGAAACUAGUAGGCUAGAGUAUCGGAGAGGAAAGCGGAAUUCCUAGUGUAGCGGUGAAAUGCGUAGAUAUUGGGAGGAACACCAGUGGCGAAGGCGGCUUUCUGGACUGCAACUGACGCUGAGGCUCGAAAGCCAGGGGAGCGAACGGGAUUAGAUACCCCCGUAGUCCCUGUCUCUUAUACA